AGGACAGUUUUGGAGCAGUCACUUCCGGGUUAAAUUCCGGGAGCUAAACAUAUCCAAAUAUGGAUUGUGAUAUAUGAAAACUGUAGUUCGGAAAGAUACGAAUCCAACAAAAUUGACGGAUCAUUAAUCGGAGUUACAGAUUUCGUUUUAUUUAAGUUUUGGUGAAGGACUCCAAAACUGCCAAAGUGCAAAAAGUUUCUGGCCAAAGUUUUCCGAGGGCUUUUUUGGACAUUUAGUUAAUGAGAAAAAUUCCAGGCUUUUGGGAAAUGAAAAUAUAUGGUAAUAUGUAGCUUGUGUCCAAAAAUGAGCUAAUUCCGAGUUAAAACGACCAAGUUAUGACCAUAAUAAUUUUUGUGAUUUUCCGACGGAAAUCGCUAUAAACGGAGUUCUACAACUCCGAUUGCCACGAAAUUUAAA
rnacentral:lncRNA from 1 species